rnacentral:lncRNA from 1 species
GUAAUCGUGAUAAUUUAUAAAAUUAUUUUUAUAAUGUUUUUGUUUGUGAUAUCUGACAUUCAUUUUCAGGGUAUAUAUUUUACGGAUAGCAAUGAUGAGAUUAUUUAGCUUUUAUUUUUUUCUAGGUAUAUGAACAAACUAUCUUACAGUUUUAUUGGUGAUUUGUUAUAUUCUAUUUUUCAUGCUUAAGGUGGUACCUAACACUACAGGGAGAUAACUCUGUAAAAUCAGCUAAAUGUUUUAAUUACGUUGUGUCGUUGAGGGAAUAUUAAGCUUCUCAAUGAUCUCAGUUAGUAUUUGUCAAACUGCUAUAUAACCAGUGUAAUUUUUUUGAUAGAAUAGUUGGUUCAAAUUUUUUGAAAUUUUUAUAUAUUUUGUCAAAUGGUCAAAGUAAAUUCUUUUUCAAAAUUUUAUGAAAAUUAAAGGAGCCAAAUUAAUUUUAGUGAAGGUGUAAGGUACCACCUUAAAAUAAUUUUAAUCUUAUAAAAUCAAUGUAAACUGCCAGAAAGUAAUUUAAAAUUGAGUCUUUAGGAUGCUUAUUUUGGCUUUUUUGGUUUUGUUCAUACAAAGUUUUGUAUGUACGUUGCUUAAAAAAAUUUAUAAUUGAUAAACUAUCUAGUUUGGAUCUUUGGAUUGUUAAUAGACUAGCAAUUGGAUAUUUUUCUAUAAAUAAUAUCAGUAGAAACAAAAUGCAAAUAAAAUGGACAAAGGUGGGUUUUUUUUUGUUUUUUUUUUUUUUUUCUAAAGUACUGUUGUUACCCAUAUUGUAAUGUAUUUUUGUCAUUUUGUAUUUUGGAACACUGUGAAAUAAGUUGUAUUUUUUUUUCAGUUUGUAUUUUGGAACUCUGAAAUUAGUUUUUAAAACUUUUAUCAGUCCAAUAUUGGAAUUAGUAGGUCUAAAAGGACUGAAAAGCAGUUUUGUGUGACCUUACCUAUAAAUGUAAAAUUAUCUUGCCUUAUCAUAGAGAAAUUUACUAAUCAAUGCAAAUUAUGUUACAAAUCAAUGCAAUUUAUUUGUUAAUUAUUUUUGUCUUUAUUCUUACAAUUAUAACAUAUAUGAAGGGGUGUUAAGAAUAAAUAUAUUGUAUUUGCUUUGUCU